rnacentral:rRNA from 1 species
CCUACGGGGAGCAGCAGUAGGGAAUCUUCCACAAUGGGCGAAAGCCUGAUGGAGCAACGCCGCGUGGGUGAAGAAGGUCUUCGGAUCGUAAAACCCUGUUGUUAGAGAAGAAAGUGCGUGAGAGUAACUGUUCACGUUUCGACGGUAUCUAACCAGAAAGCCACGGCUAACUACGUGCCAGCAGCCGCGGUAAUACGUAGGUGGCAAGCGUUAUCCGGAUUUAUUGGGCGUAAAGGGAACGCAGGCGGUCUUUUAAGUCUGAUGUGAAAGCCUUCGGCUUAACCGGAGUAGUGCAUUGGAAACUGGGAGACGUGAGUGCAGGAGAGGAGAGUGGAACUCGAUGUGUAGCGGUGAAAUGCGUAGAUAUAUGGAAGAACACCAGUGGCGAAAGCGGCUCUCUGGUCUGUAACUGACGCUGAGGUUCGAAAGCGUGGGUAGCAAACAGGAUUAGAUACCCGUGUAGUC